rnacentral:rRNA from 1 species
UACGGAGGGAGCUAGCGUUGUUCGGAAUUACUGGGCGUAAAGCGCACGUAGGCGGCUUUGUAAGUUAGAGGUGAAAGCCCGGAGCUCAACUCCGGAAUUGCCUUUAAGACUGCAUCGCUUGAAUCCAGGAGAGGUGAGUGGAAUUCCGAGUGUAGAGGUGAAAUUCGUAGAUAUUCGGAAGAACACCAGUGGCGAAGGCGGCUCACUGGACUGGUAUUGACGCUGAGGUGCGAAGGCGUCGGGAGCAAACAGG